rnacentral:miRNA from 1 species
GUCCCAGACCCUCCCACCUCCUGGACAGCAUCCAUUGUGAAGCUGCAUUCUUAGUGAGCUGUCCAGGAGGUGGGAGGGUCUGGGAG